UACAGAGGGGGCGAGCGUUGUUCGGAAUUACUGGGCGUAAAGGGCGCGUAGGCGGCCUUCUAAGUCGGACGUGAAAUCCCUCGGCUCAACUGAGGAACUGCGUCCGAUACUGGUUGGCUUGAAUUCGGGAGAGGGAUGCGGAAUUCCAGGUGUAGCGGUGAAAUGCGUAGAUAUCUGGAGGAACACCGGUGGCGAAGGCGGCAUCCUGGACCGAUAUUGACGCUGAUGCGCGAAAGCCAGGGGAGCAAACGGG
rnacentral:rRNA from 1 species